rnacentral:rRNA from 1 species
AUGCUACCAUCGAAAUGGUUGCUUGACAAGUCAAUGUGCAGCAAAUGCUUUAGCUUGGUGAUUGAUGUUGGAAUUUGCCCAGUAAAGUUGUUCAGGCAAAGAUCCAACAACACCAAUCCACUCAAACGACCGAUGCCGGAAGGCAGUGGACCGCCAAAAGAAUUGUUUGAAAGAUCAAGAAAUGAAAGGUUUGAGGUCUGUACAGGAAGAACUGACAGGUCUAUAGUAGUUGAAUUGUUGGUUUCAGAACUGGGAAGAGGCAGAGUUCCUGCGAAACUGUUUCCUGAAAGAUUAAGAUAG